rfam:Stegodyphus mimosarum contig80340, whole genome shotgun sequence.
GCCUUCAUGGUGUGGUGGUCAGCACGCUUGGCUCGUAUUCGAGAGGUUUGUGGUUCGAGUCCCGGGGAGGGCA